rnacentral:rRNA from 1 species
UACGGGGGGGGCAAGCGUUGUUCGGAAUUACUGGGCGUAAAGGGCUCGUAGGUGGCCAACUAAGUCAGACGUGAAAUCCCUCGGCUUAACCGGGGAACUGCGUCUGAUACUGGAUGGCUUGAGUGUGGGAGAGGGAUGCGGAAUUCCAGGUGUAGCGGUGAAAUGCGUAGAUAUCUGGAGGAACACCGGUGGCGAAGGCGGGUCUCUGGACAGUUCCUGACACUGAGGCACGAAGGCCAGGGGAGCAAACGGG